CAUUUUCCUACUUAUAUAACUCUUUGGGGUCCAUACCGCACUUGGGGACGGGAUAUGAUUGCUUUCUUAAACAAACCUUUUAGAGCGUUGUCAUCUUACCAGCACAGGACUCAAUAGUAAGGACUGUCACUGCAUUGAUAUCGCUCAUGGAUCGUGUUAUACUUGGGAAGAUCCGGCCCAAGGGGAAGUCUGUUAUCCACAACCCAACCUUAGAUGAGGGACCCAUCCCUUCUGACGACCAACCUUGAUCUGCACUGGG
rnacentral:lncRNA from 1 species